UACGGGGGGGGCAAGCGUUGUUCGGAAUUACUGGGCGUAAAGGGCUCGUAGGCGGCCAACUAAGUCGGACGUGAAAUCCCCAGGCUCAACCUGGGAACUGCGUCCGAUACUGGAUGGCUUGAAUUCGGGAGAGGGAUGCAGAAUUCCAGGUGUAGCGGUGAAAUGCGUAGAUAUCGGAAGGAACACCAGUGGCGAAAGCGGCUUCCUGGUCCAGCACCGACGUUCAGGCACGAAAGCGUGGGGAGCAAACAGG
rnacentral:rRNA from 1 species